rnacentral:lncRNA from 1 species
AAAACAGAGCUAAGCCAAGGAAAUGAUUUCUUUCCCACCUACAAUGCAUGAAAAGAAAUUAACAUGAAAAGGGUCUGAGGAAGACAUUAAUAUUUUGAUAGUGGCAGAAGAAUGUUAUUUACAAAAAUAAUGACAAAUGUUGAAGAGAAAAUACAGGCUUCCUAGCAACUAGACCAAAGAUAAGUAGAACUUGAUCAUAAGAACCCAUCACUGAGAACAUCAUCUAUUUUGCCCAUAAGACUUGGAGAACUGAAGCAGGAACUAAGAUGGAGAUGUCCUCACCACUAACUAGCCCCUGCAGUGUUUGGAAGAUGCUAUUCACGCUGCUAGAUGAGAGAGAACAUGAACAGCCUUAUCCGGCUAUGAACUGUAAUAAGAAACCAAGGACAAAGGGAGAGAAUUAAUACAAAUGUCUUCUCUUUAACUAACAGGAGUUUUGUAAAUAAAUAAACAAAUAAAAACAAAAACACAAACAAAAAACUGUGAACGCUACAGGAAAUAAAAUCAAAGCCUGAGGCCCAGCACAGGGCAUUUCAGAUACUUCAUGAAAUGCCAUCCUUCCAAGAUAUCCUUACAAGUAGUCAGUGUCCAGCCACAGUAUCACUAUGUCACAUUGAUAUCAGGGCAUUUGAGGAAAAAUGGGUCCUUAGAAAGCUUUUUGCCCCCCUCCAUCUAGAGACUAAUGGUAUGCUCUACCCUGCAGAGACUAGGCCCAGACAGAAGGAUAUGCCACAGCAGGAGACAGGAUCCAGAAUGAGAAUAGACAAAAGACAUUUUCAAAAGUCCAGGUUCACAGCUUGACAGAAGCCUUCACACAGAAAGAGCCAUUGCACAUUGGACAGAUGAUCCCAGAAUGGAAGUUUCCAGAGGAAAUAACAGUCAAUAAACAGAAAA